AAGAAAAGCCACCGUGCCUCCCCUGCUUCUACCUCUCACCCUUCUCUUAGGAGCUGCCUUCAUCGCAGUCACGCCCCUUCCUUCCGAGGAGCUUUCUGGCUGCGUUCGCUGGUAGACCCCUGAAUUACCCCUCCGUCUCCCUUCUCUUUCGUCCCUUCCCUUAGUUCUCAUCGCCUUCCCCCACUACCACCACCUCCAGCCUAUCUCGCCUCUCACCAUCCGCUGCUCCACCCUCUGGCCCGGUAUCCUGCUCGUCCACUGCCACCAAGGAGAGACCCGAGGGAGCAGCGAGGUUGGGAGUAGCCGGGACCUGGGGCUUCCUCCCUACCCAUCCCUGGCCUCCGGCCCGGGACCCAAACCGCUUGAGCUUGCAGAGAGAGUCCUCACCUUGUCCUGAUUGCUUUCAGAGCUGCUGAGAAAACCAGGAGGAGUGAAAGAACCACAGACUCCUUAGAAGGCUGAGAAGCCAAAGACUGACCAGUGGUUGGACUCUUGCCGGCGCUUACCCUGAACCUGAGUGUUAGGGGAGAGGGAAUCUGCCUCUGCGGUCUCUGGAGCUGCUCAUAAGCAAGAGUUCCCUAUCCUGAUCAAGGCUUUAAGCCUAAAAGAAAGCAGAAAUAGGUA
rnacentral:lncRNA from 1 species